CAGCAUAGGCUUGUUGCGGAGAAAUUAAGUGGAUAUGCGUAUCAAUACCCGCAGCAGUCAAAAUUAGAUGCUCACCAGAGAUGGCAUCUGUUGCUACGCCAGUAACCAUACCUGGAGUAAUGUUGUCUUGAAUGCUUGGGUUACCACUUUUACCAAUUCCGGCAAUUUUACCAUCUUUGAUACCAACAUCGGCUUUGAUAACACCUAAACGUGCAUCGACAAUUGUGACGUUAGUGAUAACAAGAUCAAGAACACCAUUAUCGCUAGUCAAUGUGUUAUUGGCACCCAUCCCAUCACGUAG
rnacentral:sRNA from 1 species